CUCCAGACUCCUACGGGAGGCAGCAGUGGGGGAUAUUGCACAAUGGGGGGAACCCUGAUGCAGCGACGCCGCGUGGGUGAAGGAGUGCUUCGGCAUGUAAAGCCCUAUCGGCAGGGAAGAAGCAAGACGGUACCUGACUAAGAAGCCCCGGCUAACUACGUGCCAGCAGCCGCGGUAAUACGUAGGGGGCGAGCGUUAUCCGGAUUCACUGGGUGUAAAGGGUGCGCAGGCGGAUUUUUAAGUCAGCGGUCAAAUCGUGGGGCUCAACCCCAUCCAGCCGUUGAAACUGGGGAUCUAGAGUGUGCGAGAGGUAUGCGGAAUGCGUGGUGUAGCGGUGAAAUGCAUAGAUAUCACGCAGAACCCCGAUUGCGAAGGCGGCAUACCGGCGCCCUACUGACGCUGAGGCACGAAAGUGCGGGGAUCGAACAGGAUUAGAUACCCCCGUA
rnacentral:rRNA from 1 species